AGUGAACGCUGGCGGUGGGCCUAACACAUGCAAGUCGAGCGGCAGCACGGUAAGAGCGCGUCCUUACUGGUAGCGACUGGCGGGCGGGUGAGGAGUACAUAACAAUCUAAUUAUUCGGGGGGGAUAACGGAGGGCCACUGAUGAUAAUAGCGGAUACGAUGUACGGCUGGAAGCAGAGGAUAUACAGAGCUUUCGUGACACAAAGAGACGACGCCGGAUUAGCUAGUUGGGGGGGUAACGGCACACCAAGGCAACGAUCCGUAGCAGGUCUGAGAGGAUGAUCGGCCACACUGGAACUGAGACACGGUCCAGACUCCUACGGGAGGCAGCAGUGGGGAAUAUUGCACAAAGGGCGCAAGCCUGAUCCAGCCAUGCCGCGUGAGUGAAGAAGGCCUUCGGGUUGUAAAGCCCUUUUAUUAGGAAAGAAAAGCUGCGGAUUAAUCCCCCGCUGUUCUGACGGUACCCAAUGAGUAAGCCCCGGCUAACUUCGUG
rnacentral:rRNA from 1 species